rnacentral:misc_RNA from 1 species
AAGUCGUAACAAGGUAACCGUAGGUGAACCUGCGGUUGGAUCAUUAAUAAAAGAAGGGCUUUAGAGUCCAACUUCAACGCUAGUGCCUGGUAAAACGGGCCUAGUAAACACUCUUGUGAACUGUUGAUUGCUUCUGGUAGGACCACUCUUUGGAGUACCUGCCGGGCAAUUUUAUUAACCCUGUUUUUAAACCAAGUCUUAUCGAAUGUAAAAAUUUGAAACAACUUUUGACAACGGAUCUCUUGGCUCUC